UACGAAGGGGGCUAGCGUUGAUCGGAAUCACUGGGCGUAAAGCGCACGUAGGCGGCUUUCUAAGUCAGGGGUGAAAUCCUGGAGCUCAACUCCAGAACUGCAUUUGAUACUGGAAAGCUUGAGUCCGGGAGAGGUGAGUGGAACUGCGAGUGUAGAGGUGAAAUUCGUAGAUAUUCGCAAGAACACCGGUGGCGAAGGCGGCAUCCUGGACCGGCAUUGACGCUGAGGCGCGAAAGCCAGGGGAGCAAACGGG
rnacentral:rRNA from 1 species